CGGGUGGGGGCAGGGCACCCAGCUGCCAGCCUGGCUUUGGCCAGGGAGUGGGGCCUGGUGGUUAGAGCGGGGAGCUGGGGGCCAGGACUCCUGCCCCCCCCAACUGUGCCCUCGUGUGGCUUAAGGCAAAUCAUGUCACCUGCUGGAGCUUCCUGUAUCCCCCCCCCCCUCAAGCUCCCCCUAAAGCACUGUGUGAGUGCCCUCGCUCCUCUGCUAGCUCCCUUCACGUCACAGGUGAUGGACGAACCCCCCCCCCAGCUCCCCUUAAAGCACCGUGUGAGUGCCCUCGCUCCUCUGCUAGCUCCCUUCACGUCACAGGUGAUGGACGAACCCCCCCCCAGCUCCCCUUAAAGCACUGUGUGAGUGCCCUCGCUCCUCUGCUAGCUCCCUUCACGUCACAGGUGAUGGACGAAACCCCCCCAU